GAAUGGUGUAACCAUGGCCACGCUGUCUCCACCCGAGACUCAGUGAAAUUGAAAUCGCUGUUAAGAUGCAGUGUACACGCGGCUAGACGGAAAGACCCCGUUAACCUUUACUACAGCUUUGCACUGAACUUUGAACCUACUUGUGUAGGAUAGGUGGGAGGCGUUGAAGCGAUGACGCUAGUUAUCGUGGAGCCGCCCUUGAAAUACCACCCUGGUAUGUUUGGAGUUCUAACCUACGCCCCUUAUCGGGGCGAGAGACAGUGUAUGGUGGGUAGUUUGA
rnacentral:rRNA from 1 species